UACGUAGGUGACAAGCGUUGUCCGGAUUUACUGGGCGUAAAGAGCGCGCAGGCGGUCGUUCAAGUCGAGUGUGAAAGCCCCCGGCUCAACUGGGGAGGGUCAUUCGAUACUGAUCGACUCGAAGGCAGGAGAGGGAAGUGGAAUUCCCGGUGUAGUGGUGAAAUGCGUAGAUAUCGGGAGGAACACCAGUGGCGAAAGCACUCUGCUGGGCCGACACUGACACUGAGAGACGAAAGCUAGGGGAGCGAAUGGG
rnacentral:rRNA from 1 species